GAUGAACGCUGGCGGCGUGCCUAAUACAUGCAAGUCGAGCGAACAGACGAGGAGCUUGCUCCUCUUACGUUAGCGGCGGACGGGUGAGUAACACGUGGAUAACCCACCUAUAAGACUGGGAUAACUUCGGGAAACCGGAGCUAAUACCGGAUAAUAUAUUGAACCGCAUGGUUCAAUAGUUAAAGACGGUUUUGCUGUCACUUAUAGAUGGAUCCGCGCCGCAUUAGCUAGUUGGUAAGGUAACGGCUUACCAAGGCGACGAUGCGUAGCCGACCUGAGAGGGUGAUCGGCCACACUGGAACUGAGACACGGUCCAGACUCCUACGGGAGGCAGCAGUAGGGAAUAUUCCGCAAUGGGCGAAAGCCUGACGGAGCAACGCCGCGUGAGUGAUGAAGGUCUUCGGAUCGUAAAACUCUGUUAUUAGGGAAGAACAAAUGUGUAAGUAACUAUGCACGUCUUGACGGUACCUAAUCAGAAAGCCACGGCUAACUACGUG
rnacentral:rRNA from 1 species